rnacentral:rRNA from 1 species
UGGGGAAUAUUGGACAAUGGGCGAAAGCCUGAUCCAGCGAUGCCGCGUGUGUGAAGAAGGCCUGCGGGUUGUAAAGCACUUUAGGCGUGGAGGAAGGUCUUUUUCUAAUAGAGAAGAGAUUUGACGUUACACGCAGAAUAAGCACCGGCUAACUCUGUGCCAGCAGCCGCGGUAAUACAGAGGGUGCAAGCGUUAAUCGGAAUGACUGGGCGUAAAGGGCGUGUAGGCGGAUACAUAAGUUAGAUGUGAAAUCCCUGGGCUUAACCUAGGAACUGCAUCUAAUACUGUGUAUCUAGAGUAUGUGAGAGGAGAGUGGAAUUUCCGGUGUAGCGGUGAAAUGCGUAGAUAUCGGAAGGAACAUCAGUGGCGAAGGCGGCUCUCUGGCAUGAUACUGACGCUGAGGCGCGAAAGCGUGGGUAGCGAACAGGAUUAGAUACCCGUGUAGUCCCUGAGCGGGCUGGCAAGGCGCAU